rnacentral:tRNA from 1 species
GAGGGUAUAACCCAAGUGGUAGAGUGCAUGCUUAGCAUGCACGAGGUCCUGGGUUCAAUCCCCAGUACCUUCU